CAAUAGCGUAUAUUAAAGUUGUUGCAGUUAAAAAGCUCGUAGUUGGAUUUGUGGCGUACGGUGUGUUCCGGGCACUUGUUGUCUGAGUAACCUGCUGUUGCCAUCCUUGGGUGGAACCUGUGUGGCAUUAGGUUGUCGUGCAGGGGAUGCCCAUCAUUUACUGUGAAAAAAUUAGAGUGUUCAAAGCAGGCUUAUGCCGUUGAAUAUAUUAGCAUGGAAUAAUGAGAUAGGACUUUUUUGCUAUUUUGUUGGUUUGCGCAAAGAGGUAGUGAUUAAUAGGGACAGUUGGGGGUAUUCGUAUUCCAUUGUCAGAGGUGAAAUUCUUGGAUUUUUGGAAGACAAACUACUGCGAAAGCAUUUACCAAGGAUGUUUUCAUUAA
rnacentral:rRNA from 1 species